GUAAAGAAUGAAAGAACUAGUGAAGACUGGAGAUAGGGCAGAGUAUUUCUCUUCCAUGGAGGUUUGUUUGUUGGUUUUUUUUUUUUUUUGAUGCUGCUGCUUAGAUCACUUAAUGUUCUUCUGCUAUUGGUUGCAAUCCUUGUACAUGAGUCCUUUUAAGACACCAACAUGUGAUUUUGUUUUGGAACCUCUACUGGCUUUUGAUAAGCAAAUAUCAUUACAGAUGCUGUCAUUGGCAAAUCAUGGCACAUCUUCCUAUGCAGUUCUUUCAGAGCAUAUCAGUCUAUCACCAAUAUUAGACUACAGAAGCUUUGCUGCUGUGACAAAUUUUAAAUUAAAUUUUUAAAAGCGCAGAAAGAUAAUGAUUUCCAAUAAAUACUGUGAAAUUCACUUCCUAUGGUAGUAAAAGACACACAAGUUACAACACACUAAAAUUUAUACAUUUGCUGCGAUUCACCUUUAAGGAACGCAAGAGGAAAGUUAGUGAUUUUGAAUAGAUGAUGUGUUUUAUUUUAUAGUUUGGAAGCCUGCCCGUUAUUCAGGAUCACAGAACUCAUGAAUUGAUGAUCCAAAGGGAGGCUCUUUUACUAUUGCAUCUCAUGCGUUGCCUCUAUAAAUAUCUUUUUUAUUAUUAUUCUGCAGUUUUUAGAUUUGUUUUAUGGUUGUGGUUAUUAAUGUUGUAUCUCUGACUGUUAGGAGGAUUCAUAGCUCUGUUUGAAGUCUGACAUGUCUGGGAGAUUUGCUUGUGUAUGUCGUUUUCCUGCAGUAAACCAAUCUACUGGACAAGGAUGGGAAUAUUCUGCCUUUGAUAGCAGGGGUGAUGAAGAUACCUUGGGGGAACUUUACACCUGGCAGCUGCAUUUAGAAGUAGCAGACCCCACCUUUCAAAGAGAAAGAAAGACCAUCUUUAAGAGACCUAACAUCAUAUUUAAGACCCUCACCAGGCUUGUUUUGCUUGCCUUUUGGCCUUUUUUCCUCCAUGGGAAAGGAAUAUCUCUUUUGACAGAAAGCUCCUCAACAAGCCUGAAUGAGAAAGCUAGUUCCUACAGAAAAAAAAAAAAGCUAUCAGCUAGAUUCUGGCUCUUGUGGAAGCUUUGUUAUUGACUUCAGCUGGGCCAGGUUUUCAGUCCUUGCCUGUGUCAAGUUUGGCAGGGAUUACUGGCAUGAAACUGAUCCUGAGGGAAGAAAUCAGACUGCUUUUCUACACAAAUGCCCGAAUGUUCAAUGUGUACGUAGAAAACUGGAAGGAUCAUAAAAAAGGCUAAUCUUUUAGACGUGCUUAGCAGGCCUGGUGAUGCUCCCACCGAGGCUGUGGGAGCUGACUUGAGGAGCAAGCAUGUUAUGCCAACAUGAGCACUUCACCUCUGUCCCUUGUCAGGUUUCCUUUACAGCCAUCACAGGGCAGCUAUUUCUUCACUGAAAGGCUCCAAAUGAAAGGAACCAGAGUGGCCCAGGAGAGAUUUAAGCUGGUCACUGCAAAUUGAUUCACUCAAGUGUCUCUGGUGUGAGGAUGUGCUACUUCUUAAGCAGCAAGAGACAGGGAAAUGAAAUGAAGAGGUUGUAAGGCUGCUCUCAGGAGAAUGGCAAGCUAACAAGAGCAGAUUGGUGUUAAUUUAGCUGAGAAAAGAAGCCUCUUUUAGUGCUUGAGGAUUUGAGACUCUAGCAACAAGUUGGUGAGAUAGUCAUGGGAAAAGAGUGGGAGGGAGAACGCUUUUUCUUAAGCGAUUGCAGAAGUGUGGAAGUAGGUUAUGGUAGGCUAGGGAACGGGAAGAAAAAUACACAGGAAAAAGGCAAAUAUAAAAAGGGGGAGAGCAAAAACCGGAGAGAAUGACCUGCUCUUUGCUUCUCCUGAAGCAUCUCCGUUGGGAGAGUAGGCAGGAAAUCACUGUUCUACUCCACAAAAUUAAAAAACAAAACGCAAACAAAAAAGAACAUAAGAAUACUCUUGCUCUGUAGCAGGACAGAUCCCAAAGCCUCUCUUUCAAUCGGGUUAUACUGUUAAUGCAGAAGCACAGUAUGGCUUUGUAGAAGCAUUUAUUCUUACCAGAUAAAACUGGAGCAUGGUGGCAGGAGCAAGCUAUAAUUUUGUCUUUAUAUCAGACUUGACAAACAUGACCUCUAGCCAUGAUUCCACGUACACUGAGAAGUUAGCACUGCCACUGGAAAAAGCAGUUCCUUGUCAUGUGCUCCCUAGUUCUCCUACCUAGUCCAGUGCAAAGCCCCUAAAUGGCCAAGCCAACAUAGGCUUGAAAGUGUAACAAGUGUAAAUGAGGAAGGAACAGAAGGCUAAAAGAGUCUUUCAAAGUUUUAGAGUGCAUCUGAAACUAUGAUUCAAGAAAGGUCUUUUGUAAAGAGAAAAGAAUCUCAACCAAACAGGUACUUCUUUCUGGACAGCCAGAAGUUUCUGAUUAAAAGCUGCGUUUAAGAGACACUAAACAUAACCUUGAAGAGGAGUACAACCACUAUCUGACAACAUGACACAGCAUGUGGAUUUUUUAAUACAGUAUAUCAUGUCGAUGAUGAUAAUAAUAAUAAAAGUGUAGAUGAUUUUGAGUCCUUUUGCA
rnacentral:lncRNA from 1 species